rnacentral:rRNA from 1 species
AUACAGAGGGUGCGAGCGUUAAUCGGAAUUACUGGGCGUAAAGCGCGCGUAGGCGGCUUGUUAAGUCGGAUGUGAAAUCCCCGGGCUCAACCUGGGAAUUGCAUUCGAUACUGGCAAGCUAGAGUAUGGGAGAGGAAGGUAGAAUUCCAGGUGUAGCGGUGAAAUGCGUAGAGAUCUGGAGGAAUACCGAUGGCGAAGGCAGCCUUCUGGCCUAAUACUGACGCUGAGGUGCGAAAGCAUGGGGAGC